UUUAAAAAAAUGGCGGCAUCGGACGAUCAUGACAGAGAUUGGUUUAGAUAUUCUAGAUGAUUCUGUGUGUUUAAAAUUACUCCCAAGUGGAAAUAAACAUGACCAAUCCACUUCCUUUGAAGUUUAUGACAAGAAUUUGGUUGAUUAGCAGUGAAUUAGGGCUAAUUCACGACACCUGCAUGACUACAACAAUGGCGGCCUCCGAACAUCGGCACAUGUGCAUUGCGUCAGCCUGGGCAUAAUCUAACUCUUUCCCAGUAUUUAGUAGUUAUACUGUUCCAUAAAAUUAUUUAAGAAAUAAAACCCAAUAGAAACUAAUAUACAAUGCUGUAUAUGCUAUACAUCGGCGAGGGGGGGGGGGGUGCCAAAAAACGAAACUUGUCGAAGUCGGUAAAUUAUUAGCUCAUACCUGGGUCUGAACUAAAUGUUUUGAAAUCCCCCUUUGAAUAAUAUAAUGUUUUGACUGAAUUACAAUAACUAUUUUGAAAUAAAUAUUGCUUUAUACAUGUAACUGUGCAGACAAUAGAUACAAAAGUGUACAGGUAUUUUUACCUGAAUUUCUGUACCUUUACUACAGGUAUCUGAUAUAAUUCAUAUAAAAAAUAAUUAUAAAUGCAAAACUUAGAAAAAUUCUGAUUGCAGUGAUACAUGAACCAUGAUAGUUUGAUAGAAUAUUACUCUAGGGAUGAAUUUCUACACUUUUGAUUAAAUCUGAUUGUUGUGUAUUGGUCUCAAUUCGCAAGAUAAAACAAGAAACAAAUUAUUCAAAACAUGAAAAAAUAUUUUUGAACAAUAUUUGAUCAUAUGUUAAAAUUUCAUUCAUUAAUUUUCAUGUUUACAGUAAUUUUUUUAACGUACAGGUAAAAUUACCUGAAUAAACUCACCUAAUU
rnacentral:sRNA from 1 species